UGAAGUUUCCGUUUCACCCACAGCGUGCUUUAGUGCAGCCGGGUCGGACUUGAUGUUUGAAAUACUGACCGACAGCUCAGAUUUAACUGUCUGUAGUUCCGUUUUGAUGGGUGUUAAACUUUCACUCAAAGCCGCCAGGAGCUGGGUCUUUAAAAUAACCGCCGUCUUGUUACAGAGUGAAAGUAGCAGUUCCUCCUUAAGGUCAGAGAUUGCAGCAUCUGAGGGCCUCUUCAAAAGAAGACAUAGUUGAUGAAGGCAUUCUGGAGCAGGACCAGAAAGACCACGACCAAGCAGCCUUGAGAUCUUAGGCAGCGUCUCCCUCAGGUCCCUCUCUAUCUCCCCACACAUCCACCAACCACUGGAACACAUCUCCAAAGUUCUGCUGGUCCAGCUCAGCUUCCCCUCAGAAGAAGUGCCGCUACCUGCCAGAUGAAGGAGCCUUUUGAGAGGCAGCUGGCAUCGUGAUUGGACUGUACUUUGGUCUGUUCCAAUCCAGCUUCAGCUCCAGAGACGGCAGGCGGGACGAGUCAACGGAGGCCGGAUGGACGAAGGCAUGCAGCUGAGUACAAUCCAGAAAACAACAGAGGAGGAGUGCAGCAGCCCAGAGCCAGAACAACCAGAGUAACAUCGUAUGUCUCUUAGAAAACAUCAUAGUAUAGCCUUUGGUAUGAAAAAACGCCAUCAUAUACAUCGUAUAUUGUACAAAUAACAAGUCAAAGGAAAGAGACAUACAUUGUAGAAUUGUAGUAAUUGUGGGCUGACUGAUUUACUGAUUAUCAGUAUUUUAUUUUUUACUGAUUUACAGUAAUAAAUACAUUUAAAAAUGGUGA